UACGUAGGGUGCAAGCGUUGUCCGGAAUUAUUGGGCGUAAAGAGCUCGUAGGCGGUCUGUCGCGUCUGCUGUGAAAACUCAGGGCUUAACCCUGAGCUUGCAGUGGGUACGGGCAGACUAGAGUGCGGUAGGGGUGACUGGAAUUCCUGGUGUAGCGGUGGAAUGCGCAGAUAUCAGGAGGAACACCGAUGGCGAAGGCAGGUCACUGGGCCGCAACUGA
rnacentral:rRNA from 1 species